rnacentral:lncRNA from 1 species
CUCGAUUCAACCGAUUUAGUCUUCGCAUCCCAAUCUUGUAUACCAUCUUCUCAAAGGUUGAAGUUGAUAAAGAUUGGGUGAAUAAAUCUGCUUGAUUGUCACAGGAACGGAUCUGCUACACAUCAAUAUCACCAUUCUUCUGAAGGUCGUGCGUGAAGAAUAACUUUGGCGAAAUAUGCUUCGUUCUAUCUCCCUUUAUAAAGU